GCCGGCAGGCGUUGCAUUAGUGGUGUUGAGGGAUCAACAAGAAUUAACUGCCGUUAUUUCAACAAGUCAGAAAUUAAAGAAGUAGGUGAACGACGUGGGAAAGUCGGGCGCAGAAGGUGAGACCCCUGUAACCGAAACUUCUUUAACUUGUUGUUGGUAUCCCAAGUAAUACCGGACUCGUGUAAUCCGGUAUGAAUCUGGCGGGACCACCCGCUAAGCCUAAAUAUUCUCUGGUGACCGAUAGUGAACAAGUACCGUGAGGGAAAGGUGAAAAGAACCCCGCAAGGGGAGUGAAAUAGAAUCUGAAACCGUCUGCAUACAAGCCGUUGGAGCUACCUUGAGUAGUGACAGCGUGCCUUUUGAAGAAUGAGUCUACGAGUUAGUGUCAUGUGGCGAGGUUAACCCGUCGAGGGGAAGCCGUAGCGAAAGCGAGUCUGAAUAGGGCGCCAUAGUCGCAUGAUCUAAACCCGAAGCGAGGUGAUCUAGCCAUGGUCAGGUUGAAGCGUGGGUAAGACUGCGUGGAGGACCGAACCCACAAACGUUGAAAAGUUUGGGGAUGAACUGUGGUUAGGGGUGAAAGGCCAAUCAAACUUCGUGAUAGCUGGUUCUCUCCGAAAUGCAUUUAGGUGCAGCGUUACGUGUUUCUUACUGGAGGUAGAGCUACUGGAUGGCCGAGGGGACCUACAAGUUUACCAACGUCAGCCAAACUCCGAAUGCCAGUAAGUGAGAACGUAGCAGUGAGACAGUGGGGGAUAAGCUUCAUUGUCGAGAGGGAAACAACCCAGAACAGCAACUAACGUCCCAAAGCGUGUGCUAAGUGGAAAAGGAUGUGAAGUCGCAUAGACAACCAGGAUGUUGGCUUAGAAGCAGCCACCAUUAAAAGAGUGCGUAAUAGCUCACUGGUCAAGUGAUUUCGCGCCGACAAUGUAACGGGGCUCAAGCACGCCACCGACGUUCUGUCAUUCACACAUGUUCCAGGUCGCAAGAUCCAGGAGUGUGGAUGGGUAGGAGAGCGUCGUGCAACUAGCGAAGCGGUGGAGGAAUCCAACCGUGGAAGUUGCACGAGUGAGAAUGUAGACAUGAGUAGCGAAAGAUGGGUGAGAAACCCGUCCGCCGAAUGACCAAGGGUUCCUGGGCCAGGCUAAUCCGCCCAGGGUAAGUCGGGACCUAAGACGAGGCCGUCAGGCGUAGUCGAUGGACAACUGGUUGAUAUUCCAGUACCCGCUAAGAGCGCCCAGAACGAGCCUGCUAAUGCUAAGUGCCUGAAGUUUCCUUGGGGUAAAACCUAAAGGGGAUGGAGCGCGCGACCCAAGGCAGUAGUAGUUCAGCAAUGGUGUGACACAGGAAGGUAGUUCAGCCCAGGCGAUGGUUGACCUGGGGUAAGAGUGUAAGAAGUGGUGUAGGUAAAUCCGCACCGCAUAUUUCUGAGACUUGAUGCCGAGCCGUAUGGCGAAGUGAAUGAUCCUAUGCUGUCAAGAAAAACAUCUAGCGAGCUCAACAGCGGCCCGUACCCGAAACCGACACAGGUGGUCAGGUAGAGAAUACCAAGGCGAUCGAGAGAAUCGUGGUGAAGGAACUCGGCAAAUUACCCCCGUAACUUCGGGAUAAGGGGGGCCAAUUUACGUGUAGGGGUUUACCCCCGAAGCGCGAGUUGGCCGCAGAGACUAGGCUCAAGCGACUGUUUACCAAAAACACAGGUCCGUGCUAAUUCGUAAGAAGACGUAUACGGACUGACGCCUGCCCGGUGCUGGAAGGUUAAGGGGACUGGUUAGCCGCAAGGCGAAGCUGAGAACUUAAGCCCCAGUAAACGGCGGUGGUAACUAUAACCAUCCUAAGGUAGCGAAAUUCCUUGUCGGGUAAGUUCCGACCUGCA
rnacentral:rRNA from 1 species